AGAUGUAGUUCAUUAGUUUUAUAUUUUACUUAUUUAAGUAGUAUUUAUUCUACACACAGCAGUGCCACAUCUUUCAGUACUUCUGGUGCCU
rnacentral:ncRNA from 1 species